rnacentral:tRNA from 1 species
UGCGGCAUGUUGUAAUGGUAACAUUUCGGCCUCAUGACCCGAAGAUUAAGGUUCGAAUCCUUAUGUCGCUU